UCCAAGACUCGCAUAGGGUUGGAUAGUGAUUGCAUCAAAUGUUUCUGCCGUUGUAAUCUUAGUAAUUGUUGUUAAAGUUUUAAGCAAUUGCUGUAAGGCCAGCGGUAUAUUCUAAAAAACUACAGCACCAAUAGACUAUUGUGAUUGGGGAGUUUACAAAUCUACAAUUUAUUUUGGUGCUGACAUAUAUAGAAACAAUGAAACAGCAUCGUAUCCAUACCUUUUUAAAACAAUGAUGUUAAACGUUUAGAUAUUGUCCGGGCCAAUAUUGAUGACAUCUUUAGUAAUCUGAUGGAA